rnacentral:rRNA from 1 species
UGCCUAGUAAGCGCGAGUCAUCAUCUCGCGUUGAUUACGUCCCUGCCCUUUGUACACACCGCCCGUCGCUCCUACCGAUUGAACGUGCUGGUGAAGCGUUAGGACUGGAACUUUGGGCCGGUUUCCUGCCCAUCGUUUCGGGAAUUUCGUUGAACCCUCCCGUUUAGAGGAAGGAGAAGUCGUAACAAGGUCUCCGUAGGUGAACCUGCGGAGGGAUCAUUGAAACCGAUCAAACCAAUCCCAGAGAACUUGCGGGCUUCGGCCCGCCGUAUACGGAACCGCCCGGUGGGGGCGGGGCGGUUGGAGCCUCCAACCCAGCAAACCCUCUGCCCUGAAGCAGCUUCGCACGGGGACACCCCCUGCGACGUUAACCAGAGACAACUCUCAACAACGGAUAUCUAGGCUCUCGCAACGAUGAAGAACGCAGCGAAAUGCGAUACGUAGUGUGAAUUGCAGAAUUCCGUGAGUCAUCGAAUCUUUGAACGCACAUUGCCGGUCGACUCUUCGGAGGAGACCACAUCUGCCUCAGCGUCGGAAUACCCCCUCACCCGUGCGG